UACAGAGGUCUCAAGCGUUGUUCGGAUUCAUUGGGCGUAAAGGGUGCGUAGGCGGUCUUUUAAGUCAGCGGUGAAAUCCUCCAGCUUAACUGGAGAACUGCCAUUGAUACUGGAAGACUUGAGUACAGACGAGGUAGGCGGAAUUGACAGUGUAGCGGUGAAAUGCAUAGAUAUUGUCAAGAACACCGAUUGCGAAGGCAGCUUACUAGACUGUAACUGACGCUGAGGCACGAAAGUGUGGGGAUCAAACAGG
rnacentral:rRNA from 1 species